CUGUCAUGUGAAGCAGACCCGAGAAUCCUUUUAUGGACGGCUCUCACACAGAAAGGUGGGAGAAGGGCAGACAAUGACUUUCAAGUUGCCACCAUGUAAGAAGUGCCUGGUUUCCCUUCUGCCAUGAUUGUACUUCCUGAGGGUGCCCAGCCAUGCAGAACCGUAAUGAUCAUGAGAUUACUCUUCAAUAAACUUCUUAUAGGAAAAUGUUUAUCUCACCAUAUGUUUGCCAG
rnacentral:lncRNA from 1 species